UCGGGAUAUUGCGCAAUGGAGGAAACUCUGACGCAGUGACGCCGCGUAUAGGAAGAAGGUUUUCGGAUUGUAAACUAUUGUCGUUAGGGAAGAUACAAGACAGUACCUAAGGAGGAAGCUCCGGCUAACUACGUGCCAGCAGCCGCGGUAACACGUAAGGUGCGAGCGUUGUUCGGAAUCAUUGGGCGUAAAGGGCAUGUAGGCGGUCUGUCAAGCCAGGCGUGAAAGCCAGGGGCUCAACCCCUGAACUGCGCUUGGAACUGGCGGACUGGAGUCGCUGAGGGGGAGCCGGAAUUCCUGGUGUAGGGGUGAAAUCUGUAGAUAUCAGGAAGAACACCGAUGGCGAAGGCAGGUUUCCAGCAGACGACUGACGCUGAGGUGCGAAGGUGCGGGGAGCAAACAGGAUUAGAUACCCUGGUAGU
rnacentral:rRNA from 1 species